CAGAAGAGCGAGCAACAACACAACUGCGAAAGCAACAAAGCAAAUGCAGGCCAAAACGACGGGAUGGGACAGUGGCAGGGGAUAGGCGAGAGGCGGCAGUUAAUGGCAGAGCGCAAAGAGCAACAGCUGCUAACGAUGUUGACGCCGAUGACGGCCCAACGAAACACACACAAACGCACACAUUCACACAAAACCAGACGGUCAGACGGACGGAACGGAUGGAACGGAUGGAAGAACGAAGCAGCACCACCAGCAGCAGCAGCAGCAGCAGCAGCAACAGCAGACGGUUCGGUUGCGUUGCCUCUUUUAUGGCUAAAAACGCUAAUGUGAUGGCGACCAUGCUGCUGCGGGGGAGAUGGGAAUGACAGAGAGCAGAACACGCAAAAGCCUCAGCAGGAGCAGGCCAAAGAGGAAGAAUUAGAGGCAGGAGAAGAAGCAGCGUCAACGACAGCGACAGAUGAUGGCCGAGGCACAAAAACACACAAGCCAUGUAGAAGGCACCCUCGUGGAGGCACAACUCGCUCAUAAAGAUGGACGGCAGACGGAACGAAGCUCGGGGGCCAGCGGCCAAUAUGGCAAGCCAUGCCAUUUCCAUCUCCAUUCUCAUCACACCCACCCAGGCACACACACACACACACACGCACCCACAGAACACACUGCAGAAAUUAACGUAAAACAAAUGAAGCACACGCGCACGCAUGUGCCGCAGUUGGCGCUGACGCCUACGCCUACGCCUACGUCGACACCGCUCUCAAACUUCCUCUGGCCUCUCGCCCCACUCACACCACACCACACCCUCUGCACCCAACACCCAGCACACCUAACCGCACCAAUAUUUUCGCCGUACAGCAACAACAACAAUAAAACAAAUGAGCAGAGCUGCAGAGAAUGCAAUUCGACCCCCAAAAACGGAGAGAGCAAGCGAAAAAUGCAAAUGACAGGAAGCCGGCAGCCAGUAAUCUGGUGUGGUGGCGUCGCAACGGGGUGAAGGGGAGCAGUAUGUCUCAAUUUACAGGAAAUUCUGUCCAAACAUGCAAAUAGACAAGACUUGAUGUUUGAAAUUGGUCAGAUGUUUGUAGCGCACAUAACGACAACAUCUCCAACUUCGCAAAGAAUUAUUAGUGCUUACAUACAUAUGUAUAUUCUUAAUAAGUCGAGUCGAUUUAGCGAUGAUCGUUUGUCCAUCUCUUUCUAUGUAAGCCAGCGGUCGGCAUUAUGUGCAUAGGUGCGCUGACCUCAUUUACGUUUUGCUUGCAAAAAAAAAUUCGUGCCGAACUCUGAUGUAAGGUAUUCUUUAAGUUCUAAAAAUAUCUUAUAUUAUUGGACAUAGUCUUAUUUCGUGAAUAGGCAGAUUGUUUGUAGAAAUCAUAGAAUCCUUGUAUUUUAAGGGCACGCAACUAAGACUUUCUCUAUCAACUUAUCUAAAUAUUUAAAUGUGAGUAAAACGUCAGUGCGGCUGUCACUCUCUUCAAACAAAAGUUUGUGUGGGGCACCCUAUUAUGCUGGUAAAGCAAGUAAGGCGAAGGGAAAAGGAUAUGCGGAAAAUGUAUUCAACUUCAAUGCAUACGAAGGCUACUCUUUAAGUCCGUAGCCUAAAAGUGAAAGAACGACGAAAUAUCAUUGAAAAUGAUUUUAUUGCUCUUCAAAAUAUUAUCCAUGAUAAUGUAUGCACGUUAGCAUCCGCUAAAACCAUUCUCCAAAGCACAUGUUUCAGUGUCAAAUUAUGCUGUAUCCCACGAGCGAAAUUCUUGCCGGCCAACUGUUCAUGCUAUGCUGAAUGUAUCUGUGUCCCUUUAAUGCCGAAAGAUGCCUCUAUCUCAUGGUAUUUUAUAUGACAUAAUUGCAAUAGCCAAUACCGCACAGCACACAUUUUUCCGGUGCAACAGAGAACGGAGAUUCGUUCUUUAGCGAAGGACGCAAUACUUCUGAAAUUGUUCUACCAGUUUUUCGCAGUGGCAAUGCAUGGUGCUUCAUUACCAAAACUUGAACUAAGUAGAUCGAAAAUCAUGACACGAAAAUUUGCAUGUGUUGAUUUCAUUUUUAUCCAAGAGGCAUGCUUCGUUUAUCGUUAAACUAUAUAAAACGUAGAAUAAAAAGUGCUAAGCACGAUGUGGUCAAGAAAUGCCAAACUUAUAAAUGGAAGUGUCGAUUUUGACCUCUUCAUAUUAAAAACAGCCAAGUCUACGGAACUUUUGGAACAGCCCUCGUAUGCACAAUACAAAAUUAUGAUCUUGCUCACUUUUGUAUACAUAUGUACGUUGAGUUGUUGACACGUGUAGAUGGGCCCUUAAUUUCCAGGAGGUACCCAUGUACGUAUUCGCCAUGGGAACACAACCACACACAUGCGAACACACACUCGAAUUGGCACGUUGCAUAGGCACAUUUCAGUUGCGUUGCAGUUGUUGCUGCCGUGCCGUGUAGGAGCUUUCUUCUGUGAGUGUCUGUUUUGUGUGUCUGUUUAGAGUGCAGCAGAACCGCAGAGUUGUUAAGUUACCUGUAACCUCGCAGAAAAUAUAAUUAACAUUCAAUUUAACAGAUAGCACCCUCUCCUAGGACUGCAUGAGAAAAUACCAAUUUAUGAACUUUCGGUUUUUUUUUUGUUUCGUUUUAUUUAUUAUCAAACAAAUCGAUGUGCCCGCGAGCGUACAUAUUUCGCCCGCCAAUACUGCCAACCCCCCAGCACAUUCCUUUAAUCACACAACCUGCGUCAACAGUAAAUACAAGCAACGAAAAUAAGCAAGCAAACAAAGCAGAGAGGCUAAAACAGAAAAGGAAAGAGUAAAGAAAAACUUUCAUUUUCAAUGUCAAGUGCAAGAAAAAGAGAGCAACAACAGCAACGAAACGGCAAGCAGCCGGAUGCCGGCUGAGGGCGACUUUUCGAAAGAGAGAGACAUAAACAGAGAUCAGUGAAAUCUUGAUAAAUACAAACAAAAAUACUACAGCAAGACACUCCCUCACACCACCAUGUGGCGGCGGCGCUGGCAAAGUUGCAACAAGCCGAGCCGCGUGACCUUCGACAACAACAACAACAAAGAGAGAGGAGGCACCUUCUGCAUAUAUGUAUACACCCACACAGAUGCCCUCAAAUACAGAUAAGAUGUAUUGAAAAAUUGCCAAGAAAAAUCUAUGCACAUACAUACAUACAUAUGUAUGGAUAUUUUCCUGAUACUGCACGAUACUCUUAAGCAAAUGUAUAUUUAUAUUUAUGUAUCUUCAUUGUUACUGGGCCCCAU
rnacentral:sRNA from 1 species